UACGUAGGGGGCAAGCGUUGUCCGGAUUUAUUGGGCGUAAAGGGUGCGUAGGCGGUUUGGUAAGUCUUAUGUGAAAUCUAUGGGCUCAACUCAUAGACUGCAUGAGAAACUGCCGGGCUUGAGUAUGGGGAGAGGUGAGUGGAAUUCCUGGUGUAGCGGUGAAAUGCGUAGAUAUCAGGAGGAACACCUGUGGCGAAAGCGGCUCACUGGACCAUAACUGACGCUGAUGCACGAAAGCUAGGGGAGCAAACAGG
rnacentral:rRNA from 1 species